ensembl:lncRNA
AAAAAAAAGGCCAAAAAAAAAAAAAAAAAAAAAAAGAGCUGUGUGUGUGAGCACGUGUGUGUGUUUAUAUAGCAUGGGAGACAGAGACAAAACUGAACAAGUGUGGGAGGGUGAGAACCUUUAUUGUGCAACAAACUGAUGGCACCAAAUAUGCUGCAUUUGUUAUAAAUAAAACUCAGUGAUGUUGGGGUGGAGAGUGGGAGCGAGAGAGAUGAAAAAGAAUGAUAUCACCCAGUGGCUAUCAGGGUUGAAACAACUGGAUCAUCCUGAAGAAAUGGCUGCUUGGCCAGUCUGACAUUUCCCAUACUACUGAAUAAGUAACCUCUGCUCAAGGCCCAGACCCAACAGGAAUGGCCUGGAAUUAGCGAAUGUAAAGACUCAGCUUUGAGUCAUGUUCUAGGAGUGGCCACUGUCUUGUGCUGUCGUGGCUUUGUUUCAUAAUCUCCUCACGGAUGCAUGCCAGCUGCUGGAUACUCAGGAGAAGACAGUCACUUGGGCACUUUCCCGUAAGCCAUGUCCCCAAGUAAGUUCUCACAGCGAGAAAAGAAAUUCAGGACAACAAAAGAUAUCGUUGAAAAGGUUCUUUUAGACUAAAAAUUUGGUGGAGAUUAAAAUAGGGCAAAAGUUCAAAGGAGAACGAGCCACUGCCAAGCAAGCAAGAAUCUUGGCAAAAAGGAAGGAAAAGAAACAUUGGUUUAAAAGGCAAGUAACCAUGGCAAGGCAACAGCUCAAUGCUAGAAUCUGGUUAAGAAGUAAUAUCACACAGAGCUGUGAUUGUUUAUUCAAGGCUAGCCCAUGAGAGAACAGUUGUCUCCAAUGAGUGUUCUCACAGCUUGGAUCCAAAAUUAUAACUGCAUUUUUUAAGGCAUCCAGCACUUCUUCACAACCCAUUUGCUGUUAGACAAAAGAAAUAGAAAAUACGUUUAUUCUUAGUGUCCCUUGUGUGUUUAAGGCACAGCUUUACAUAUGGAAAGGCAUUUUGUGUCAGCUGUUGGACCGGUAUCAUGCUAUUCUGCAGCAGUUGCCAAUGGAAACUGUUGAUACAUUUUCGGUACCUUUUCCAAGUAUCAGAAACUGGGAGCAGUGUAUGGUUUAGGGACAUCUUGUUUGCAAAGGGUUUUGAAGGGUGAGAGGUUUUGCAUAUCUGAGUUGCAUUACUGCAGUUGCAACACAAAGCACAUAAUAGACUGUAGCAGCUAACAGUUGUGGAAUUAAGUUUAGGCAUGAAACAAAAAUAAUGGCAGCUUUGGUACAAGUAAUCAUUUACUAAAGAUGUAUUUUGGCUAUUGGCAAACUCACAGCAUAUGUGCACAUCCAUACACCUGCUUAAGUUGUGCACCUGUUGUCCUACAAAUAAAUCAAAAGGGAAAAAUUGAAGCUUCCAAUAUUCCACUAUAAAUAAAAGAUGAUUAAUGUCAUUAUAGGGACAAACAGGUAUUGGCAGCACACAGAAAGAAUGGAAGAUUGUCAUCUCAUUUGUGCUUUUGUUUCCACAUCUAGAUGAGCUUGGAAUACAUAUACAGUGCUAGAGGGCACAGCUGCAGCCUAACAGAUGAUAGAGAGCAGGUCAAAAUCAUCUCUCAUCGUAAGUCAAAAGGAGCUCAACCACUGCAGGGCUUUUCAUGGAAAUGAGCAGAACUUUUUCCAAAAACUGGAUGAAUUCAUCCCUUAUGCCAUUUUAUUGCUCAGAUAAUCUUCAGCUAAACUAAGACACCAUGGUCUGUAUGAAGUUUGCGUGGAGAGCAGAUAGGUAGGUCUUAGCACUCUGGGGAACUAUACUGACUUCUCAGUUAUUCUUUGGAGAUCUACAGUUCUCUUUUUUUUUUUUUUGGAAUGAGCGUGCAUGUCCUUAAAAAAAAUCUUUCAGGCUAAGAUCAAAUUCACCACAUUUCAUAGAGUCAUAGAACCAUUAAGGUUGGAAAGAUCACUAAGGUCAUCUAGUACAACCAUCAGCCCAUGCCUGUGACCCUUCUAGAUCACGUCACUCAGUGUGACAUCUACCCUUUUCUUGAAAACCUCCCGGGAUGGUGACUCUACCACCUCCCUGGGAAGUCUGUUCCAAUAUCUCACCAUGCUUCUGAGAAGAAAUCUUUCCAAACAUCCAACCUGAACCACCCUGGCACAACUUGAGGCCAUUACCUCUUGUCCUAUCAUUAGUUACUUGGGAAAAGAGCCCAGUGUCCACUUCACUACAACCUCCUUUCAGGUAGUUUUAGUGAGAUGAGUUCUCCCCUGAGCCUCCUCUUCUGCACUUUGUAGAACCAUGUACAUGUGCAAUGGGCAGCUUUGAAAGCUGCUGGAGUCUUCGGUGUUUUCAAGUCAGUAGGGCACAUGACAAUCACUGUGUAAACAACUUCAGUGUUCCCUAUUUACUCACAACCUAAUUAGAAUCUAGAUAAUAGAAGGAUGAUAUCUUUGACCUUUCCUAUAUCAGAACUGGCUAUACUGGCUGCCAAGGUGAUUAAAGGUAAAGCUAUAACAUUUCCUUUUUGCCUCUCCUUCCAACAAAUGCAUGUCUUUGCCCCCAUUACAGCAGCUAGCUAUCUGCCAAAUUGCCUUACUGGGGAUCAGGCUCUCCAGAAUGCUGAGAACGGCAGUCAAGAAAAUCAGCUUUAUAUCAGUGUCACUCCUUAUUUUAUGGGGCAAGUCUGGUGUUCUGAGGUACAAUUUAUUUCAGUGUGUUCCAUAAAUACUAGGGAAUCUGAAGAGUGUUUUCUCCCACUUUUGAGUAGAUGUGACAUACAUUAGGGAGAGACAGCUCCGCUGCUGAGAGAUAGAUGGUUCUGUGCCUAAUAUGACUUCAUUUUGUCUAUACCUUUACAUUUCCAAAGAGUAUAUCUCCAAGUCCCCAGAUGCCACUCUAUCAUGCCAAACUGCUACAGCGCUUUACAGAGAUGUGCACAGUCUUCUCUUCCAUUUGUUUCCCAUCUAAGAUGAAAUCACUCUGAACAGGAAUCCUCCUUCAGACUUUUCAUGUUGAGAAAUCGUAACCUUGCCUUUUAAUGCUCUGGAUCCCACACACAUUGUGGCAAUCUCUUACUGUCAAACCCUGUCUUUGCAUCCCUGGCCCAUCAGUGGAGCCGCAUGGAAGAAGAGUAUUUGGCACAUUGCUUUUAGUGAUAGUUUGCUCUUCAGAAGCACAGAGGAUUCACAUUAAUUUUUAUUAUUAGAUAUUCAGUCAGGAGUGCAGAGAACAAAUGGGCCACAUCUCACAGAACCCUAGAAUGGUUUAGGUUGGAAGGAAGCUUAAAGACAACUUUCUUGACAACUUUUCCCAUCACCACCAGCAUUAGAAAAUCACAGUACUUGAUGCUUAUGUGAGCAAAUAUUGCUUUCAUUUGAAUUAUUUUAUUUAAAAUUCUAACUCAUCCCAUUCGCUCUUUCUUCUGGGCAUGAGCAGAUGGAGAACUGGGAAUUAAAAGAGAGAAUUUCCUGGCAUUAUGUUCCAUUGACAGUAAUACUUCAGCAAGGAAGGACUGUGUUGUACUGCUGGCUAAAACAUGUCAAGUCACUUGAUAGCAAGAUCAUAUAAUUUGGUCCUCAAGCAUAAGAAGAUGAAGUGUCCUCACUGGAAGGGUCUGAAAAUUGGACUCCUCAGAUACUUCAGUUCCUCAACUUCAACAAAUCUUCUCCAGACAUGAACAAACACACAGAGAUUUUUAUUUUAAAAGUAUGUAAUUUGUCACAUAUGGGAAAAUGUCCACAAAAAAAUGACAAACAAGCCACACAGUAGCAUUCUGAAAGCAGAUGUCUAGUUCCAGGUAGCAGAAUGUUAAAGAACCUUAAUGCAGGUUCUAGGAUGUCUUUCUUUUUCCUAAACAAAUAAUUUUCCUUGAUUCUGGUCUCAAUUUCUAGAAAUAGCGAAAUAUUGUAGUUGAAAUUUUCCCAUAUGCUUAGGUUUGGAUGGUGAGAGGAAAAGAAAAACCUUCUGUUCAACAAUUAAGUCCAAACAGUUAAAUUUUGGUAAAGUUAUGAACAAAAGGAAGUAAGGUGUGGCAGUAGAAACUGCAGCUGGUGUGCCCUCUAAAGCAGAGUUAUCCACUGCACAGGAUGGAUAUCUAUAUCUGUGGUAUGGUCUGCAGAAUAGCCUGUCUAAUAGAGAUGUUGGAGGCUGCAGGGGAAGGUGCUGGCUGCUGCUUUAUGAGAAAAAACACAGCCAAGAGUCAGAGUUUGGGUGUGGGCAAUACGAUAUCACAAAAAGUGAAUUAGAUGCUUCCUCUGAGCCUUGGAUGAACUAAUGAAUCUGAGGUGACAUAAGAAGCAGAGCCUUGGCAGAGUGUCCAUAGGCAUCUUGAUGUUCAGCCCUGCCCUAGACAAUGAGUAAACCUUUCUUUGCAAUGAGUAGGAUUUUUGCAUGAGCAUUAGAAUUUCUCCACCUGAGUAAAUUCAGAAAGGUUGAAAGUGUGAACCAACUGGGAGAAGCUACAGUAUUGCCUGUGUUAAGCUAGAUUACCAUGGCAGAAUCCCACAUGAGAGUGUCAAUUUUCUCCUGCUAUACAGUAUGCUGCCCCAAUACUAUGUGCUUCCUUAUAUCUGUCUCUGAAAAGGGUGCUGUUAGAUAACACAAAUCUGCCAAUUUUUUCAUGCUUAGAUCAGUGGUAGACUGAAGACAAGGAUUACUAGAUGAUCUUUGAGGUUCCUUCCAACCCAGGCCAUUCUUUGAUUACGACAUAGACGAAUGUCUCGUCAGGGUCAUGAACAAACCCACAUAUAUUAUUUUUUUUUUUUAGAGUUCUUGUACUUGCUGUUUUAUCACUCAGUGUAAGCAGCUAGCAGGCUCUUAUUUUGUUUUUGAAAAAUGCAACCUUUUAGAUGAUGCAAACAGCGUUAGGAACUUGACAUAGCUGUGGGAUAAAAUCUUUAAAACAGAAUGUCUAUGCUUUGUGCAAAUGCAAACAAAUUCCCAUAGUUGGGCAGGGACAAAGAACAAAGGAAGUGCUAGUAUGGAAACACUGCUCCAGGACAAUUGCCAGGGAAGCUUACACGGACUGGCUGGAGUCUACGUAGAGCUGAGAGAGGAUAAAACAUGAUGGUACAUGACAGCACGUUGUACAGAAUGUCCAAGAGAAAAACAAAUGAGCAAAGACAAAAGUGAAAAGAGAAGCUGGAAUAAAAGAGAACUGUCGGAGAAAGGAGCAGCAGGCAGCAGCAAGGUGGCAGAGGCACAGCACUUAAUCAAAAAUAAAGAGACGAAAGUGUCCAGGAGGGAAAUAUUUUAGCACUGUAGCAGAAUAAGCUUGCAGCCAAACUCUGUUUACUUCCUUGGCCAGAAAUAGGCCCUCAUGCUUUACACAACAAACAAAGCUCUGGUAGCACCUCUUAUGUCAGCUCACCCAGCUUUCUCCAUGUAACCAUCCCUUUUUUAUGUACCACGGGAUAAAAUUCCAGGCUGGGGACGUAACUUGAGACAUUUCUUGGUACUCUUCAAAAGUUUAACCUCCACUUUUUUUCUUUUUUUUCCUGUAGUGGCAGAGAGAUUGCUCAUGUCACCAGUCGGAGCUCAGGCUCACAGUCCUGAGCUGAAGCUGUAGGUUAAAUCCACAUCAAGUGUUCAUACUGUCAUAACAGCACUGGUGGGCAUUAAAAGUUGUUUACUUCUUUCUUUCUAAGAAAGUUUUGGUGAGUAAGGUCUAGAAACAAGAAUGAGAUGUAGGGGUGAGGGAGGAGAUGUAGCAGGGGAUGGUCAGAAGAAACAACUUAUUUCAUACAGAUGUGCUGUGCACAUCAUGACUCAUCAGGAAGUGAAUUUGCAUCGGAAACUGAAGAGCAAAGGAAAAGUCAUGGCAGGUUUUCAUUUGGAUUCACAGUGACUUUUCUUAGUCUUUUUGGUCUUGGCUUCCUGCAGUGAUGGGACUGGUCAAGGCACUUUUAAUUAAGUAACCGUUCCAGCUAAAGCUGUUAGUAAUAAGCAAGCUGUCUGGCUUACGUGAGUGGGGAUCAGUCAGCCGGUUCACCAGUUCAGAUGUGCUCAGCUCCGGAUGGUAGCAGUUGUUCCAAUCAGAUGUUGCAGUGGUGGCGUCUACAAGCUUGGAAAUCUUGGCGUAGUUUUCCUUGGCCAUGGGUCCAUGCCAUAAGAAAGAAGGACAAGUCCUCAUUAAGGAUUUUCCUUGGAAGUCUCUGCAGAGACCAGGAAAGCAUAGAUAUAAAGGAGAAAACUUAGGUACUUCAGCAGGGAAUUGGGGUUACUUCAGGCACUCCUAUAGAUAUUCCAAAUAGGGCUGUCUCUAUCCUUCUUUGAAUCAUGAGUGUCAAAGUCCAGGUGACAUGCUCUGGUUGCUUGUUUAAAGGGACAAGGCUGCACAUGAGUAGUCUGUUAGUGCUUCUCAGCACAGCAACUAGUCCACUGUGUAACUGGAUACAUGACUACAUCCCUAGUCCUGCUGGUAACAAUCUUUCUGAUACAAGUCAGGAUGUCAUUAUUUCUGAUAGAAGCCAGGAUGCCAGUGGCCUUCUUGGCUACCUUGGCACACUGCUUGCUCAUGUUCAGACAAAUGCUGACCAAUACCCCCAGGUCCAUUUCCUCCACAGUCUUCCAGACACUCUGCCCGAAACCUGUAGCACUGCCUAGGGUUGUUGUGACCAAAGUGCAGGACUUGUCACUUGGUCUUCUUGAACUUCAUCCCAUUGGCCUCAACCGAGUGAUCCAUCCUGUCCAGAUCCCUCUGAAGGGCCUUUUUACCCUCAGGAAGAUUAAGGCUUUCUCCCAACUUGAUGUCAUCUGUAAACUUACUGAAGGUGCCCCUUGUCCAGGUGAUUAAUGAAAAUAGUAAAUAGGACAGGCCCCAGUACCAACCCCUGGACAACACCACUCAUGACCGGUUGCCAGCUAGAUUUAACCCCACUUACCACCACGCUCUGGGCUUGUCCUUCAGCCAGUUUUUUGCCCAGAAAGUAAAGAAUGUACCUGUCAAAGCCAUGGACUGCCAGCUUCUCCAGGAGAAUACUGUGGGAGACAGUGUCAAAGCCUUUGUUGAAGUCCAGGUAAACUAUGUCAACGGUACCCACAUCCUAAAUCAUUCUGGUCUAGUUCUCUCUCCCUCACACAAUAAACAGAUUGAUAGAUCGAGAUUUAAUUAAAAAUGAUCAGCUACUGCAAGGACAAGCUUUUUUUUUUCCCACUUUUUUUUCCCCUAGGCACUCAGUUUACAUGUUUACUGUGCUAAAAACAGUUACGAGCAAUCUGGAUAGCCCUCUGUUAGCUGUGAUGAAAACAUUCUUCAGCAUCUCUGAUGGUGCCUGCCACUGACGAGCCUGAGAAACAGUGUAGUUAAAUGGAGAAUGCGCCUGGCUUUCUAAAAAUUGUAUGGUGAAGACCUGAUGCUGUCUUGCUCCUGGGGUCAGUGCUGGUGGAUCACCCCUGGCAGGGACUCUGGCUGACAUUUGUGUCCCUUUGGGGAUUCCCAUGGACACCACCACAGUGUGCCCAAUUUCGCACGGCCACACCACAUGCCUCUCAAAGAUCUGGUGAGAGACACAGAUGUGGCUGGCCCAAAGCUUCCCACUGGGGCUUGAUGCCCCUGCGGGGCGACUGCCACAUGCAGCAGGGGGAAUGGCAUACAUAAAGCUUUACAACGCCUGGCCUUCAGUGAGCCUGGGCAAACAAAAACAAGCCUGCAUCCAGCACAGUGCUGCAGCCACAGCUAGUUCCCCUCAGAUCAUGCCACCCUUCAGGACACAUCAAUGCCCCUUACUCCAGCAGCAGCAGCUAUGAAAGCCCUCUUCCUGGCUCUCCGCUGCCCAUUCCCUGCUGCUGCUCCCUCUCUGCCAUUCACUGCCCUCCCUCUCUUGCCGGCCAGGAGCCACAGGUCAGCCUACAAAAAUCCUCAGAGGCCAAAGGGGGCUGCUCCAGUAGGGCUGACAACAGAGAGGAUGUCGAUCUCUCCUAUCCAGUAAGAAAGCAGCCAUGCAUCCCCCGCUUGCUGCUCUGCAAGUCCUGGUUUGUUCUUUUAGUGGUGUAAAAACUGUCCUUCCUUUCCAUCUCACACACAGUAUGAACAUAGACACGAACAGAAACCUUUAGUUAAUCUCAUUGUUAGGACCCUUUUUUUCUUUCAGGUGUUAGUGAGCUGUAGCGAAUCAGAAGAUCCCCAAAGCAAAGCUGCCUCAUUACCAAUUUUGAAAAUGCCCCUGUCCAUCAUUAUCAAAUAUCCUAAAUACCCGUGUUCAGCAACAUUCGGCCAGUACUUAGAUUAUGAGUCACCGGGUAAUUUAGCCCUGCAAGGGAGAUUGUAAGUCUUUCCCCCCCGCCCUGUUCCAGAGAGGAGAUGCCAGUGGGGGACCUUCAUUAAUAUUCACUGUAAUGUACAUCUGUUUG